rnacentral:rRNA from 1 species
AGAGUUUGAUCAUGGCUCAGAACGAACGCUGGCGGCAGGCCUCAAACAUGCAAGUCUAGGGGGUGUAGCAAUACAUCACCGGCGGACGGGUGCGUAACACGUGGGAAUAUACCUUUUGGUUCGGAACAACGCAGGGAAACUUGCGCUAAUACCGAAUGUGCCCUUACGGGGAAAGAUUUAUCGCCAAAGGAUUAGCCCGCGUAGGAUUAGCUAGUUGGUGAGGUAAUGGCUCACCAAGGCUCCGAUCCUUAGCUGUUCUGAGAGGAAGAUCAGCCACACUGGGACUGAGACACGGCCCAGACUCCUACGGGAGGCAGCAGUUGGGAAUCUUGGACAAUGGGGGAAACCCUGAUCCAGCCAUGCCGCGUGAGUGAUGAAGGCCUUCGGGUUGUAAAACUCUUUCGACGGGGACGAUAAUGACGGUACCCGUAGAAGAAGCUCCGGCUAACUUCGUGCCAGCAGCCGCGGUAAUACGAAGGGGGCUAGCGUUGUUCGGAAUUACUGGGCGUAAAGCGCGCGCAGGCGGCUAUCCAAGUCAGUGGUGAAAGCCCGGAGCUCAACUCCGGAACUGCCAUUGAAACUGUUUAGCUUGAGGACGAGAGAGGUGAGUGGAAUUCCCAGUGUAGAGGUGAAAUUCGUAGAUAUUGGGAAGAACACCGGUGGCGAAGGCGGCUCACUGGCUCGUAUCUGACGCUCAGGCGCGACAGCGUGGGGAUCAAACAGGAUUAGAUACCCUAGUAGUCC